rnacentral:rRNA from 1 species
GAUGAACGCUGGCGGCGUGCCUAAUACAUGCAAGUCGAGCGAACAGACGAGGAGCUUGCUCCUCUGACGUUAGCGGCGGACGGGUGAGUAACACGUGGAUAACCUACCUAUAAGACUGGGAUAACUUCGGGAAACCGGAGCUAAUACCGGAUAAUAUAUUGAACCGCAUGGUUCAAUAGUGAAAGACGGUUUUGCUGUCACUUAUAGAUGUAUCCGCGCCGCAUUAGCUAGUUGGUAAGGUAACGGCUUACCAAGGCAACGAUGCGUAGCCGACCUGAGAGGGUGAUCGGCCACACUGGAACUGAGACACGGUCCAGACUCCUACGGGAGGCAGCAGUAGGGAAUCUUCCGCAAUGGGCGAAAGCCUGACGGAGCAACGCCGCGUGAGUGAUGAAGGUCUUCGGAUCGUAAAACUCUGUUAGUAGGGAAGAACAAAUGUGUAAGUAACUAUGCACGUCUUGACGGUACCUAAUCAGAAAGCCACGGCUAACUACGUG